rnacentral:lncRNA from 1 species
GGAGGUUGCACUGUCUCCAGGACUGUACCUCUCCUCUGCUUCCUACCCACUAUGCUGUGAGCAACUCCCUUCUCUAGGCAUGCAUGAUGCUCAGCCAGGCCACCGGCUCAGAAUCAACAGGACCAAAGAUGUAAGCUGAACCCUCAAAACCACCAACUAAAUAGAUCUUUCCUCCUGGAAGGUUUCUCUUAGGUAUUCUGGCAGCAGCCAUGCAAAGGGAGCUAACAAACCCCUGCCAUCCUGUUGUGUAAAUAAGAAUUCGGAGGCAUCUAGAUUAUAAAAGGCAUGUCAAAGGGUCAAGAAGUUUGCAAAAGGACUACGGUGACCCUGAGCCACCUCUUUGCGGGGCCCAGCGCUUCCUGCUGAGCCAACUGCUCUGCCUGGUGAGAGCCCACUAUGCCCCUCCAAACAUGGUCCAAGUUAGCUCCUGUCUCCCAGUUUUUCAGCAAGCCACCCACCACUCAACUUGAUGGACACAGCCAGAAAUAGAUGUACAAAUAGUUUGGAUUGUGAUCCUUUUCUCUGAGGCAACGGGCAUCUACUCAGAUCCGAUUAGCUUGAAUAUUCUUUCGCACGUCGGGUGAUGCCUAUUAUCCGAUGUGCGAUUAAGGAAGGCUGCUAAUCUAAACAGCGUGAGGGCAGGCGCCCCGUUUUCCCCAGUGGCUGCUCAUUAAGGCAGAGCUGCUCAUUUAAGGAUGACAAGCAAAUGCUCGGUCUCAGCUGUCUGGAACAAUCUAUCAAAAAGUGAAAUUUUCAUGACGUUGCCCAGGAAAGAACAAAGCCAAAAAA